GAAAAAGAAGGGGAAGAGAGAUAGAAUGUAUGGGUUGAUAAUGAGGCCUUCUGAGUUUAUUAACCCAUGUCACCUAGUAACAAAAACAGUAACACUGUAACAAUGGGAAGGAAAUCCUGCUUUCAAUGAGAGAAGCUCUUAUAUGUGGCUAGAAAGAACCACAAGUUUAUAAACACCCAUGAAAGAGAAACUUUAGCAUGGACAGGAGCUAAAAACAUGAUGGCCAUCCACCACCUCAUUUUAACCUUCUGAAGGUCAUUACAACAGAUCUCCAUUCCUUGCUCUUCAGGAAAAAUCUCCUACUGGACACACCUAUGAAAACAGCCUUUGGGGUGCGUGGCUGGCUCAUGGUGACAGGUGCACUGAUGAUGCAUAGGCAAUGGUGGAUGAAACUGCUGGCAUCUUAGUCUGAAUCAAGGCAGUGGCACCAAACUGUACUGCAGGUGACUAUUUUCUUCACCAACCGUGCAUCGACAGGAGAAAAAAAAAAGUCUGUUUCACUUCGGCAUAUCCUUGAUGAAGCGAAACAAUUGUUUUCAUGGAACACCAUUUGUACUUUGGCAUUUUCUCAGAAACAAAGUAAGCCUGGCAGGAAAACAACUGACACCAUUUGUUGCCAUUAAUAAAAUUCAAGCUUUUAAGCAAAAAGUUAGAAUUCUAGAAAACUUGUGUCCACCAUGCUUAGCUUAACAGCUUUCUGACACUUCAACACUGUUCUGAGGAGAAUAAGGUAUUUUUGACAUGGUAUAAUAAAAUGUGUCAACGUUUGGAAGACAUGCACAACUCAGUGAACCAAUAUUUUCCAGAUGACACAUACGGUAUCACAAAAAUCAUACAUGGUUUUACUAAAAGAUCCAUUCAGAGGGCAAGACAAUCAAUGGAUUUUAAUGUAACAGAGUAAGAGAAGUACACUGAUAUGGUUUCAAGUAUUAUAUUGCAAUUCACCUUUAAGAAACUACCACUUAUUGGAAUUUGGUAUAAUAUCAAAGAAGAGUAUUCACAUUCAUCCUAAGAGACUAUUAAAGUACUCCUCCUCUUUCUAACUA